rfam:Salmo salar isolate Sally breed double haploid chromosome ssa11, whole genome shotgun sequence.
AACAUGUAUUACUGUAAGUCGCUCUGGAUAAGAGCGUCUGCUAAAUGACGUCAA